AUCACAACAUCUCUGCAUAUAUCCUUGGGGAUUUCAAUUGUAUAUAAUGGCACUCUGGAAAAGAGUCAUUGUGAUCAUAUUUUUAUAUAUCUGGGGAUGUAAAUCUCAAGACAAAGUUGAUCAGCACACAAAGAUUCAGUCUGCUUUUGAAGGUGUUGAUGUAACAAUCAACUGUACAUAUCAGACGUCUUACCCAAACCCGACUCUCUUCUGGUACCAGCAGAAAGUUAAUGGGAUCCCCAAGUACAUGUUGAAUAGAAUCUCUAACUCUGGACGAAAUGAGGAUGAAUUCGAGGAGAGAUUUCAAGCAAAUCUCAGCAAAACUUCAUUUCCUCUGACAAUCAAGAACCUGUGUGUGUCUGACUCUGCUGUGUACUACUGUGCUCUGAAGCCCACUGUGACUCAAACACACUCAACACUCACACAAAAACCUUCAUAUAUAAAUAUAUUGGCAUCAUGCAGUAGCUGUAGGGAGCCAGUAGAGGGAGAUCAGUAUCAUUUGUUGAUAUGUGGGUGCUGAGAUCUCACUCUCUGUCAGAAACUUGUUAUAAAAUCCACACAAACUUCC